CAUGCCGUAAACGAUGAGAACUAGAUGUGUGAGGUAUUGACCCCUUACGUGUCGCAGCUAACGCAGUAAGUUCUCCGCCUGGGAAGUACGGCCGCAAGGUUAAAACUCAAAGGAAUUGACGGGGGCCCGCACAAGCGGUGGAGCAUGUGGUUUAAUUCGACGCAACGCGAAGAACCUUACCUAGGUUUGACAUCUGUGAGAGCUGGCUGAAAGGUUGGUGUGCCCGCAAGGGAAUCACAAGACAGGUGC
rnacentral:rRNA from 1 species